GGAUACCUGGCUUUCACCCAGGAGGCUCGGGUUCGAUUCCCGGUAUGGGAA
rnacentral:tRNA from 1 species